rnacentral:rRNA from 1 species
CCUACGGGAGGCAGCAGUGGGGAAUAUUGGACAAUGGGCGAAAGCCUGAUCCAGCCAUGCCGCGUGUGUGAAGAAGGUCUUCGGAUUGUAAAGCACUUUAAGUUGGGAGGAAGGGCAGUAAGUUAAUACCUUGCUGUUUUGACGUUAGCGACAGAAUAAGCACCGGCUAACUCUGUGCCAGCAGCCGCGGUAAU